rnacentral:rRNA from 1 species
GGAAUAUUGGACAAUGGGGGCAACCCUGAUCCAGCAAUGCCGCGUGUGUGAAGAAGGCCUGCGGGUUGUAAAGCACUUUCAGUAGAGAAGAAAAGCCAAGGGCUAAUACCCCUGAGCCUUGACGUUACCUACAGAAGACGCUCCGCCUAACUCCGUGCCAGCAGCCGCGGUAAUACGGAGGGAGCGAGCGUUAAUCGGAAUUACUGGGCGUAAAGCGCACGUAGGCGGCUUUGUAAGUCGGAUGUGAAAGCCCUGGGCUUAACCUGGGAAUGGCAGUCGAUACUGCUUGGCUAGAGUAUGGUAGAGGGAAGUGGAAUUUCCGGUGUAGCGGUGAAAUGCGUAGAUAUCGGAAGGAACACCAGUGGCGAAGGCGACUUCCUGGGCCAAUACUGACGCUGAGGUGCGAAAGCGUGGGGAGCAAAC